AAUGGGAUAGCUGGGUCAAAUGGUGGUUCCAUUUUCAGCUUUCCAAGGAAUCUCCAUAUUGUUUUCCAAAUUGCCUGCACCAAUUUGCAGUCUCACCAGCAAU
rnacentral:pre_miRNA from 1 species